AUUUUUAACAACACUGUACAUUUAGAGAAUAUUUUAUACAAUGGUUGAUUAACCAUUUGAUUGCAAUAAAUAUUUAAAACAUUAAAGUAUGAAAACCUACAUGUGGGGUGACAUCAUAAAUUGAUACACAGAAUGUACUCAAGUAUAAGGAGAUUCAUAACUUUUCUUAAAAGGAAUGUCAAGGCUAAAGCGCAAAUCAGUUAACAUUUCUUAAUUAAUGUCUUGUUAUAGAAAACGACGAAGAGUGCAGCCAAAAGUUCCUUAACGAUAAAUGAUGGAUUUAGUAAACAAUGAUGAUAAUCAGUGUAUGGAGACUGAGAUAAGCAAACACAUAACAUAACCGCACCUGAGAUUACGAGCCGACUAAAUCUCUGAACGGAAACCAAUGUUUUUGGAAUGGGUAACGCGCGUGAAUAAA